AUUCCUCAAGUUGGAGAGGAUUCAAGUACCAUCAAAAUGCUAAACCAAGUGAUGAGGAGAAUGCUGAAACGGAAGAUCCAUCCAGAGCUUGAAGACAAGGGUAAUAAAUUAAACAAGCAAAGUAGCAAGAAGGAACAUGAAGCCAGUGAAUCAGUUGACCUGCUUCAACAAUCUCCAGGUGCUGCUACAGCUUGAGCAUCGAGUUGGAGAUGACUUAAGCUGCUAGAAAUUAAUGUUCUCUCGCGUUGUGCUUAAAUUAAUCAUAUGUUUAUGGACAAGGACAGUAUUUAU